AACGAACGCUGGCGGCAGGCUUAACACAUGCAAGUCGAACGCCCCGCAAGGGGAGUGGCCGACGGGUGAGUAACGCGUGGGAAUCUACCCUGAACUGCGGGAUAGCUCCGGGAAACUGGAAUUAAUACCGCAUGUGCCCUGAGGGGCAAAGAUUUAUCGGUUCAGGAUGAGCCCGCGUCCGAUUAGCUAGUUGGUGGGGUAAAGGCCUACCAAGGCGACGAUCGGUAGCUGGUCUAAGAGGAUGAUCAGCCACAUUGGGACUGAGACACGGCCCAAACUCCUACGGGAGGCAGCAGUGGGGAAUAUUGGACAAUGGGCGCAAGCCUGAUCCAGCCAUGCCGCGUGAGUGAUGAAGGCCCUAGGGUUGUAAAGCUCUUUCACCGGGGACGAUAAUGACGGUACCCGGAGAAGAAGCCCCGGCUAACUUCGU
rnacentral:rRNA from 1 species